rnacentral:rRNA from 1 species
GAUGAACGCUGGCGGCGUGCUUAAUACAUGCAAGUCGAACGAAGCACCUUGGACAGAAUCCUUCGGGAGGAAGACCAUUGUGACUGAGUGGCGGACGGGUGAGUAACGCGUGGGUAACCUGCCUUGUACAGGGGGAUAACAGUUGGAAACGACUGCUAAUACCGCGUAAGCGCACAGUACCGCAUGGUACGGUGUGAAAAACUCCGGUGGUACAAGAUGGACCCGCGUCUGAUUAGCUAGUUGGUGAGGUAACGGCCCACCAAGGCGACGAUCAGUAGCCGACUUGAGAGAGUGAUCGGCCACAUUGGGACUGAGACACGGCCCAAACUCCUACGGGAGGCAGCAGUAGGGAAUAUUGCACAAUGGGGGAAACCCUGAUGCAGCGACGCCGCGUGAAGGAAGAAGUAUUUCGGUAUGUAAACUUCUAUCAGCAAGGAAGAAAAUGACGG